AGAUUGAACGCUGGCGGCAGGCCUAACACAUGCAAGUCGAGCGGAAACGAGUUAUCUGAACCUUCGGGGAACGAUAACGGCGUCGAGCGGCGGACGGGUGAGUAAUGCCUAGGAAAUUGCCCUGAUGUGGGGGAUAACCAUUGGAAACGAUGGCUAAUACCGCAUGAUGCCUACGGGCCAAAGAGGGGGACCUUCGGGCCUCUCGCGUCAGGAUAUGCCUAGGUGGGAUUAGCUAGUUGGUGAGGUAAGGGCUCACCAAGGCGACGAUCCCUAGCUGGUCUGAGAGGAUGAUCAGCCACACUGGAACUGAGACACGGUCCAGACUCCUACGGGAGGCAGCAGUGGGGAAUAUUGCACAAUGGGCGCAAGCCUGAUGCAGCCAUGCCGCGUGUGUGAAGAAGGCCUUCGGGUUGUAAAGCACUUUCAGUCGUGAGGAAGGUAGUGUAGUUAAUAGCUGCAUUAUUUGACGUUAGCGACAGAAGAAGCACCGGCUAACUCCGUGCCAGCAGCCGCGGUAAUACGGAGGGUGCGAGCGUUAAUCGGAAUUACUGGGCGUAAAGCGCAUGCAGGUGGUUUGUUAAGUCCAGAAUGUGAAAGCCCGGGGCUCAACCUCGGAAUAGCAUUUGAAACUGGCAGACUAGAGUACUGUAGAGGGGGGUAGAAUUUCAGGUGUAGCGGUGAAAUGCGUAGAGAUCUGAAGGAAUACCGGUGGCGAAGGCGGCCCCCUGGACAGAUACUGACACUCAGAUGCGAAAGCGUGGGGAGCAAACAGGAUUAGAUACCCUGGUAGUCCACGCCGUAAACGAUGUCUACUUGGAGGUUGUGGCCUUGAGCCGUGGCUUUCGGAGCUAACGCGUUAAGUAGACCGCCUGGGGAGUACGGUCGCAAGAUUAAAACUCAAAUGAAUUGACGGGGGCCCGCACAAGCGGUGGAGCAUGUGGUUUAAUUCGAUGCAACGCGAAGAACCUUACCUACUCUUGACAUCCAGAGAACUUUCCAGAGAUGGAUUGGUGCCUUCGGGAACUCUGAGACAGGUGCUGCAUGGCUGUCGUCAGCUCGUGUUGUGAAAUGUUGGGUUAAGUCCCGCAACGAGCGCAACCCUUAUCCUUGUUUGCCAGCGAGUAAUGUCGGGAACUCCAGGGAGACUGCCGGUGAUAAACCGGAGGAAGGUGGGGACGACGUCAAGUCAUCAUGGCCCUUACGAGUAGGGCUACACACGUGCUACAAUGGCGCAUACAGAGGGCGGCCAACUUGCGAAAGUGAGCGAAUCCCAAAAAGUGCGUCGUAAUCCGGAUUGGAGUCUGCAACUCGACUCCAUGAAGUCGGAAUCGCUAGUAAUCGUGGAUCAGAAUGCCACGGUGAAUACGUUCCCGGGCCUUGUACACACCGCCCGUCACACCAUGGGGAGUGGGCUGCAAAAGAAGUAGGUAGUUUAACCUUCGGGGGGGACGCUUACCACUUUUGUGGUUCAUGACUGGGGGUGAAUCU
rnacentral:rRNA from 1 species